rnacentral:tRNA from 1 species
GUAUAGCUCAGCUGGAUAGAGCGUUCGCCUCCUAAGCGAAAGGCCGGGGGUUCGAAUCCCUUUAC